rnacentral:rRNA from 1 species
UGGUACCUACGGGAGGCAGCAGUGAGGAAUAUUGGUCAAUGGGCUUACGCCUGAACCAGCCAAGUCGCGUGAGGGAAGACUGCCCUAUGGGUUGUAAACCUCUUUUGUCAGGGAGCAAUUGGCGCUACGUGUAGCGUUAUCGAGAGUACCUGAAGAAAAAGCAUCGGCUAACUCCGUGCCAGCAGCCGCGGUAAUACGGAGGAUGCGAGCGUUAUCCGGGUUUCUUGGGUUUAA